CUUUAUCGGAGAGUUUGAUCCUGGCUCAGGACGAACGCUGGCGGCGUGCCUAAUACAUGCAAGUCGAGCGGACAGAUGGGAGCUUGCUCCC
rnacentral:rRNA from 1 species